rnacentral:rRNA from 1 species
GAACUCUGAGCUCAAAUCAG